GUAAUAGCUCACUGGUCGAGUGACUCUGCGCCGAAAAUGUAACGGGGCUAAACACACCACCGAAGCUAUGACGAGCGCAAUUAUUUGCGCUGGGGUAGGGGAGCGUUGUAUGCGGGUAGAAGCUGGAUCGUGAGGACUGGUGGACUGCAUACAAGUGAGAAUGCCGGUAUGAGUAACGAAAAGAUCAGUGAGAAUCUGAUCCGCCGUAAGC
rnacentral:rRNA from 1 species